rnacentral:lncRNA from 1 species
CAAUUGUGUCCAGUGCAGAGGAGGUAUAGUAGGCCCUACAGGUGUGUGUACUGAUACCCUACAACGAAUAUUUCAACUCUUUUGACUUUGUCACUUCGACAGUAACAACUAUCAAAAUAUAGCAUUCAAUUACCCAUAAUAGAUGUCAUUGUCCAUUACAUCAAAAUGUAAGGCACCUGCCAAAGCGUUUAUUUCGUUUUUGAACCGUUUGUUUGUUUUGGGCGAUAAAUCGAAGCGCGUUCUUUUCUUUCUGAUUUGACUAAUAUUGACAUUGGCCAAAAGCUUUUCCGCGCGAAUCUUAUUAAUUCGAUGAUAUUUGUUUAUUCGAGAGGUGUUUAAUCCCCGUAUAUCGAUAUUAUUAUCCUCAGGUAAGAGAGCGUAAUGCAUUACCAUUGCCUCCGGGGAGAGGAAAGGAAAAAAUUAAUUUUCAUCGCUUUUCUGCUUAAGAUAGGUGUAGAUUUGAUAAUUUAGGAGGCAAAUGCAUUGCAUCAAGACAGCUUGGUGAUUGAGUACCAUUUUAAUAUAUGAAUUGAAUUAGCUACGAUUAAACAUUUUAAUUUCUUACUUUAAAAUUCGAGGUAACCCGUGGUAUCCCAAAAGAGAAGUUUAUAAAACUGACGUAAAUAAAGCGGUUUGUAAAAAUGGAAAUGGUGAUGUUGACAAUGGACGUUCAUAAAAAUCAAAAUCAAUUUUCACUAAAUAUAUCUUGCUAUUAAUUCUUCCCUGGGUCUUUAAUGUUAACGCUUCUUUAUAGAACAAUAUAUGGCUGACAUGAAAAACCAUAAGACAGAAUGAUAUAUCACAUAUUUUUGGUCUGCAUGAAGUUAUAAAUAUUUUUCUUCUCAAGCAACUUUCGUGCAUCUGCACUCCCCGGAAAAAAAUUGACCACCUUGAACAGUUUCCUAGCGUGAUCCGUAACCUUGUGAUAACGAUUUUGUCGCAGUACAUUUUACCUUAGUUUUCUGCGAGCAAAAUAGCAGACGUUCUCAUGUCGGUCAUCUCCGUAUUCUCUCCGAUCACACACGAGAAGAGGUCAUGACUUCUGCGGGAGCGUGGCUGGUUAAACGCAGCUGUAGGGUCUUUAACAAGUGUUAAAGUGUCACCAGCCUGCGUCUUACAGACUCUUCGGCAACUCGGUGACAGUGCUUCGAGACGACCGUAUAUAGCGUUCUCACAUUUCUUCGACUCCAUAGAGAUUAUACAAGAGCUUGUAGCGUCGAAACAAAAUACUGUCAAAAUACUGUGUGUUGUCAGGUUCGCAUCGGUAAUGCGUAACCUGCGUAGAGACAGUAUCAUUGUGCUGAAGGAUUUGAGAAAACUUCGCUAAAAACAAUCAGGUCGAUUUUCCUUGCUUAGAUAUGCAGAAAACGGCAGGCAGUCUACUGUCUUAUGAAAACAAAAUCGAUACAAAUUUUCAUUUUCCUGCUGACAAAAACGCAAUUGUAUAAGCACACGCACAUGAUCGUGACACAGAUAAACCAUUGCGCAUUCCAAGCAGGGUAUAAGCUUCUAAGAAAACAAACAAGUCAAAAUGGAGCAAGUUUUCACUGAUUCAACAGACGGAUCAAACCAUUCAAGCCCUCGAGGAAGUAACGAAGACUGGAGACAGUCAAAAUCGAGAGGACAAAACAAUACCGACUUUGAUCGCGAGAGCGGAGGUUCUAUGCAAUCACCAGAUAGUUUCCCCAGUGAUGUUCACGAACAGAUUCGAAAGCAAUUCUUAGGAGUGCUACAAGGGAAGAAAAAACUUUCUCCAACUCCGAAAGACACAUCGGUGUUGCGUUUCGCGCAACUCUCCAACGACUAUGUUCGUCUGACAGAUCUGCUACAAAAUAUAGACCCGACGGAACUGAAACAAAUCCUGAUCA